CUAAAUAACCCUAAUUUGAUGAAGUAGAAGAACUGUGACGAUUAAUCGGCGAGGCAGCCCUUCUAUAUAUUCUCUCUCUCUCUCGUCAGGCGUAGCGUCCAUGGCGAUCUGUUCGGGCUGCGGAGGCAGCAGAGUGAUCGUGGACCCGGACUCGGGCGACCGCGUAUGCGGCUCCUGCGGCCGCGUCCUCUCCACCGAGAACUACAGCCAUGAGGCCUUCACCUCGGAGGGCCAGCCCACCAGCUUCCUCCACUCCACCGGCGGCGACUUUGGCUACCGCGAGCGCAAGCUGCACCACGCCCGAGCCCUCAUCACCGAUCUCACCGCCCGCCUCGGCCUCUCGGCCGCCCGCGCCGCCGAGGCCGGGGCCCUGGCGUCCGAUGUCACCGACGGCGCCCUCGGCGACGGUCAGUGGUUCCCCGUACUCGUUGCCGCCUGCUCGUACCUCGUUGCUCGCCGCCAUCGCCUCCCCCUUUCCCUGUCGGAGGCCGCCGCCGCCGUAGGGCAUGAUGCCUGCGAUCUCGGCCGCAUGGCCGUCCGCGUCGCCCGCCACCUCGGCCUCCCGCCGCUCCCUGAGUUUGACGCCGCUGGCGUUCUCGAUCGCGUGGUCCGCACCUGCCCUUGCUUCUCGGCGGUGGAUCCCGAGAAGUCGAAGGAGUUGAUUGGCCAGGGUCGGUUUCUCCUCCACUGCGCCACCAAAUGGUUCCUCACCACCGGGCGCCAGCCGCUGCCGAUGGUAGCCGCCGUCCUCGCCUUCGUUGCCGAAGUGAAUGGGGUCGGAGUCUCGGUGGAGGAGAUCGCGAAGGAGAUCUACGCUGGGGUAACUACGAGCAAGCUCCGGCUCAAGGAGCUCAUGGAGACGCUCGUUAGGGUUGCAAGAUCCUUGCUUCCAUGGGGUAAGGACGUCACAGUCAAGAACCUAGUGCAAAACGCCCCUUUGCUGAUUCGCUUGAUGGAAAGGAAGUCAAAAUCCGCCCUUUCUGAGGGUCUAGGGUUCGGCUUUGGUGGUCUUUCCGGACCUUAUCAAGAUGGCGAGGCGGAAGAUUCCAAGUAUUUCGAGAUCGAUGGUGAAGAAGAUGGCAACGCCAACUGCAACAUUCUGGAGGACGUCAAUCUCUCAGGGGAGUGCAUUUCAAGUGCUUACAAGAAUGUCUUGCAAAGAAUCUCCCAUCUAAAGGAAAUUGGAGAGUUUGAUAAGGUCCAAGUGAAGAAGGCAAGGAAAGACCAGUUGGAUUUUGUUGCAUUGCAGGAUUCAUGGGAAGGAAGAUGGGAUUCAGAAAAAAAAUUAACACUUGAGCAAAUGUUGGAGCGAGAUGUAGGUUAUGAUGCUCUGCCACCAUCUUUUGUUACUGGUGUGCAGGCCAGGAGAUUCAGGAAAGCCAAGAUCGAAGCAGCUAAGCGUCGGAUUCAUAAGAUUAUGAAGCCAUCAUCCUCUGUAGAUGCAGUUGGCAAGGUGGAGGAUUGUCUCCCGGGGGAGGAGGUGGUGGGUAGGAAAAGGAGGUCAAGGAAGAAGCUCCAAGUGGAUAGUCUUGAUUGGGAGGACUGCAUAAUUGAACUUUUGCUUCUUCAUCAAGUGAAUGAGGACGACAUAGAGCAAGGUCAGUAUAACAGAUUGCUCGACCUGCAUGUCUUCUGUUCAUAGAGCACUGAAAGAUGAGGACCAAAUGGUUUUUGCCGGUAGGAUUGAAUAUUGAGGUUCCCCUGCCAAUUUACAGCAAGUUGAACAUGCAAGGCGAAUGGAACAUGCAAACCAAGAAGACGGACCAUGGAGAGUGUUGCAGAGCCAGCUCCAGCUUUGGCCUGCGACAGAGGAUUAAGCAAUAAUCAUUCAGGUUACACCAUUCUGAUAAUGCAAAGGUACAUUCUUGGCUUGAACAUCAAAUAAUAUCUCAUUCAAAGUAUAGAAUUUGUAGAUUAUUUCAAAAUACAAAGCUAUAACAUCAUCUACAAUUAGGGGUGUUCAAAUCGAAAUAGAAAAUCAAAUCAAUUUUAAUUUAAAAAUAUCAAUCCAAUUGUCCUUAACCAAUUCAAAUCGAUCAAUCAAAUCAGUUCAAAUGCUUAAUUUUAUAAAUUACAUAGGUUUAAUUUUACAAAUGUUAUCUGUUGUCUAAUUGAACCAAGAUUCUAGUUUUAUACAUAUUUAAAUUAUUUAAAAUUAUAUAUUGAUUAACUGAAUCAGAUUAAUCUGUUUUGAAUUAGUUUGGUUCGGUAGAUCUGAAUUGAUUUUAGUUCAAAUUAUCUUAUUUUAACUGAAUCAAGCAAAAAAAAAAGAAAAAGAAUAGGAUAAGUACAGACCUUGCAGUAUAUUGGAAUAAUAAUUUGCCUCUACCCAUAAAACACAUAACCAAGCAAUUUAAUGGUACUUAUUCGAUGCAUAUAAGAGAAUAAGAUAUUUUAAACCACAUAACCCAUUGAGAACUGGAAUUCAUGACAGACUGCAUCUGAACAAAGCAGCUUUAAAUUUUUAUGUCAAACAAAUAUUUGCUGAUCUGCUACAUAAGCCCCACCUUUGUCUUUACUGCCUACUUUAUAAAAUAACUUAGAAAUUUAAUUACACAGGUUCUUUUACAGCUUUUUCUAUUGCAUUUUUAUCAGAAAAAUAAUAUUCUUCAUUUGGUUGCUUUGUCAUAUAUGCCAAUCUCCAACGAGCAAAUAACAUUAAAGGAUUUGUGCCAAAACUAAAUUAAACAAAACAUUAGCUGCUGCUGCUUUGCUUGCUCUUGAGCAAGAUCAUAUAAGCAUCUAACUAAUAAUGAAUAACAUGGAAAGAAUAAAGGGGAAAAAAGC